rnacentral:rRNA from 1 species
UACGUAGGGGGCUAGCGUUGUCCGGAUUUAUUGGGCGUAAAGAGCGUGUAGGCGGCCUGACAGGUCUGCUGUGAAAACUCGAGGCUCAACCUCGAGAUGUCGGCGGAAACCGUCUGGCUAGAGUCCGGAAGAGGAGAGUGGAAUUCCUGGUGUAGCGGUGAAAUGCGCAGAUAUCAGGAAGAACACCUAUGGCGAAGGCAGCUCUCUGGGACGGUACUGACGCUGAGACGCGAAAGCGUGGGGAGCGAACAGG